UGCUGGUCUGUGUACCCUUCCUCUCUCUAAGCUCUCUCUCUGUCUUCCUCCCUCCCUCCCCGCCUCUCUCUUCUCCCUAUGCCCCCCCCGGGUACCUACCUCGGCUGCCCUCCUCUGUGGGGUGUGAGCUCCACGGCUCUUCUCAUAGGAUCUGGCUGCAGGGGCUGCUGUUCCUGGGACCGUCCAGCAGAUGGCGCCUGGUACUGCUGCUGGGCUGAGCAGUGCUGAAAAUGACGUUAACUCUGUCCUGC